AUUGUUAGUUUUAGAGAAAAAGAGGUAAAUUUUUAAGGCUUGAGUUUUGAUAAUUCUGUGAAUAAGUAGCAAUAUCAAAGCAGCAGGCCACUCCAUCCUUAGAAACGCUUCAAGAAUUUCAAAUGAGAAAAACAGUAUCUCAAAAGUUUUUAUUCUUUUUAAAUGCAAAUAAAUGAAAAUCUAAUUAAAGAUGCAUGGUUUGUUGACACUUCUUAUUUCAAAGUUAGGGUUUACACUAUUUUUAAAUGAAAAUCUUAAAUAAUGCCUGGUCUUCGAGAUAACUUCAUUUUUUUCAUAAGGAGAAUGCUGAUUAUAUUUGUAUUGAUUUGGUAUACAUAACACUAGUAUAAAGUAAGUGACAGUUUUCUAUUUAAAAUAGGAAAGGAAAAGUGCAUAUUUUAUACCAUUAAAAUGUUGUAAACUAAUUUUGAUAGAAGUUUGUAUAUGACAAUCUUUUUAAAGGAUCUACAGCUGUACAACCUUUACUUUUAGAAGGAGCUACCUCAAGUCCCUUCCCGUAUCCUGAUUACCCUAAAUAGCAAGGAUUGAAGGGCUUUAGUCGUCAAGGAUCUAACAGUGUUUCUACUCCCCUCUGUCCACCAUGCAUGCAUCCUAUUCUUGUGCUGAACCAAAUCUAAUACAUUUACUUCACUGAUCUGAAAAUAGAAUCUAUGGAUCAUUACUGGUGUAGGAUGGUCCUGUAAUUCAAGACUUUCAUUGACGCAAAUGAGCAAGACCAAAACCACAGGUGACCCACCUGUGUAUCUCGCAUACAUCUGCAAGUAGAUCAAAUGCAGCUCCCGUAACUGGCACUAUGGCAACUGGGAAGCUGCUGAAUACUCUCAACCCCCAGGUGAGCAUCCAAUGGCUGAUACUGGUUGCCCUAAGACCCUGCUGCUCAGUUGUGUCCCAGCCCUUACUGGAGCAAUGAGCUCUCUGGUCCUCACUCACUCAUGUGGAACUCUGAGUUUUCUCUCCUCAGACCUCCAACGUAUGAAAUAUGUGUUUUAUGAUUAAUUGACCAUAAAUUUUUUUGUUUGUGGUUCAGAAAGGUUCACAAUUCAUUAGCAGUGCUCAUAUCAAAAUUGUCAUGGGAAUCUGUCACUUUAACUGAGACAAUGCAAUGUGUUGCUGUGAAAUGAUGUGGGAUGCUCAAAGAAAAAAAACAAUAGGAGACUAAUUUGGUGGGAAAGGCACAGUAAGAUCUCAUUUUCACACUGCCAGAACUCUACAAAGCAGUAUCCUAUAUACUGAUAGUGCUUUGGCCAUAAAAGUGAGCGAGCUGGAACGCAUUAACAGUUUUGACCAUUAGUAAUGGGUGGUAGAAAGUGGAGCUCUCUUGGCUAGCAAAGUGUAUUGCUGGGGAAGUGAGUUAGUGCCUUGGAAAGUGCUCAGCUUUUACGUUGGGUCUGAGAGAUGAGAGGAAAGAUUAUGACCUCUGAUUCCCUAUGUUAUGGAGAAGUGUGAACUUUUUGCAGCUAUGGGCUCCACAGAAGUCCUGUGUUUACUCACUACUAGGAUUCACCUUCCAUUAGAAUGUCAUGUCCAAAGUAGAAAAAGAGGUUACUUUUUGUAGAUGGGCAGGCUUUGCAUUUCUUAUGUUUGGAUUAAAUGAAAUCUUGGAGAUAUUAGCCAAAAGCAAGCUUGAUUACAUAAAUAUUCUCCUGGCCACAUCACUUCAUCAGAGCUUUUUUUAGGAAUAAUAAAUGUUUCAAAGAUAGCCUAUAAAAAUGUCAUGUAGAAAAAACCAGCAGCAGAUGAUUUAAUGUGAGUGAAAUAAUUGCCAUGAUUGGCUAUAAAGCUAUCUUAAUAUAACAUUCAAUUUUGCAGUUAAGCAUCUCCCUCACAAAUAGGAAUCAAAUUGCAUCAGCUUAGAUACUAAAAUCAUAGAUUGUAACAAAAAAGUUGUUUCUACAAAGAAUUUUUUGAAGUUUAUCUUUCUAUUUGAAAGUGUGUUUAAGAAAAAAGAUCUGUUUCUGAUUGUUCUGAUUUUCAUUGUCAUUGGAUAGAUUUUUGUGGUACAUGCUGAAGGGUGACUAAAUUUCUUCUCCUUUCUUUUCUCUAAGGAAGGGGAGUCAGAUGUGCUGCCUUUGAUUACCUCUUGUUCAUGUCUGCACAAGAUUCACCAAGUUUCUCCCCUGUAUCAGUCGAACUCAAUAAAUUCAAUUAUCUGUGCUCUUAAUUACUGAUUUCUUGAGCUUUAGCUGCCUGAUUUGUCAGAAAGAGUUCUGUUUCUCACUUCUUUGCCACUUUCUUUUGUUCUUCCAUCAGAACUAGGAGGGAUCAACAUAUCUCAUUUCUUGCAUCACUAUCAACGCUAGGGCAGCUAUCAAAUGCUCUGUUGCUGAAAAGAGCACUGGUUGAUAUAAAACCAGCUUAGUGUUAGUAAGCAAGAGGAAAGUGGAUAAUAAAUUAAAAUCACAGGAAGAAACUGCCUUUUGUUGUUAGUUUGCUUUUAAAGAACUGCACUGAAAUAAGACUUUUACUUACUAGUGGUGUAAUUCAUGUUAAACAAAUAACCAAAAUGCACACUCUAAAAUUAACAGCUGUUUUUUCUUUUGUUUCUCAACCAGAAAAGUCUUUCUUAAGCAAUCAGUACAUUCAAGGCAGUGUGCCUUCUCAUGCUGCACAUUUGAGCUGUGACUGAGCACCAGUUGGCCAGUAGUGCAUUUAGUGAUGGUUCGCGGCCUUGGGCAGCACUUCUGUUCUGUUAGAGAGAGGAGGUAGGCUGAUACCACAAAACAUUUAAAGACCUUCUUUUAACAUUUUAUGCAAAGCCACAGUCUGAAGUUCAAAACUUCUGUAACAUGUUCAGAAAGAAAUUCAGCAUAAGGCAUAUUCUAUGACAAUUUCUGGAAUUUCACAUGACAGACCAGACCUUGGGCAGGCAAGUGGAAUUCCCUUCAGAUGAUGAUAAAGCAGAAGAUAUGCUCCAAGGUGCACUUAAUGCAUUUCAGCUGUUAAUAGCAAUGUAAUGCUUGGGACCAGAUUAAAGGGAAUCCAAAGUAAGAUUUCUUUAAAAAAGUGUAUUUUAGCCAUUAAGGUUCUCAGCAGCAACUUUUUCCUUCUAUAUAUCCAUUCCCAUUGUGCCGCAUGACUUGCUAAUUUAAAUAUAACUUCUAUUGCCCAAGACAUGUUGUCCUAGAAACUACUGUAAUAAUGCAUUACUGUUUGGGAUAUUUAUAUGUAUAGCCCUGCACAUAUCUUAUGGCUGGUUGCCCCUAUAAUUAAAUCACUUGUGAUUAUAGGUUAUGUUUAUAAUUUAUCAUGUGACUUAUAAAUAUCAAUUUAAUAUCUGUUAAAACUUCCCGUUUCCCAGGUGAGAAAUAGAAAAGAAUUUUGGAGUGAAGCUUCAUGUAGAAGUUUUCCUGGGCUGUGCAAGGAGAAGGCUGUGUUCUUGUGACACUCGCCAUAUUCUGACUAUUUUUCACUUCCUGAUAUUUAAUACAGCUGGUUCUGAGGGAAGCGAUGGAUCUGCCAUCUAGCUUGUGAUUGAAACUUCUUGAGCUUUUCAUGACAUUGUUUCUUCAGAUGUGCAACACCUGCCCCUGCUGUGCAAAGGGUAAAGAAGUAUUUGGUGACCCAGGACAAGGGACAGGGCAGCCUCAGUCUCAGGGUGUUCUACUGACAGAUUAGAGAAUGGGACAAAGACCUUGUGAAAAUAAGAAGAGAAAUGUGGGUCAAAAGAAAACAGGAGAAACUGCAGUGAAUUUAAGAAGAGUUGAAGAUCCAGCAUGCACUGUGAAGCUUUUUGCUUAGCAGUCAGUGGAGAUAAACUUUACAUUUCAAAGACAGCAGGAUGAGAGGCCAGAUUAACAGUGGACGAAGUGAAAAAAAAUUUUUUUGAGCCUUCAGUAAUGCAGGAUCAGAAGAGUUUGCUGUGAUAGCAUAUUUAACAUACUUUAGAAGCCAAUUGCAGGAUACUUUGUGGCACUACCAAGACCAGAGAAGACUUCAGGAACCCUAGAGGAGAGCAGAAAUAGAAAAAACUUCAAGAAGUCUCAAAAUCCUUGUAGGUGACUGAGAGAAGGAAUUAAAUAUGAAAUGUAAACCACUGGUGUGAAUAUGUAGAUUUUAGUUUUGUGGCAAAUUGGACAUUCUGAUUUUGCAUUUUUUAGCCAAAAAAAGUUAUUGAGCUCUGUGAAAACACAAUUAGAUAAAAUGUUGUGAAGAUUAAUUAUAAAUUUAGCACGGGAGAAACAAUAAACUUCUUUUAUGAAAAGAAAUAAGUAGCUAAGUGAAAUCUGUGUUUUCCUGAA